UUCCUGAUGGCUCAGUCAGUAAAGAAUCUGCCUGCAAUGCAGGAGACCCAGGUUGACCCCUGGGUUGGGAAA
rnacentral:tRNA from 1 species